UACGUAGGGUGCAAGCGUUGUCCGGAAUUAUUGGGCGUAAAGAGCUCGUAGGCGGUUCGUCGCGUCGGCUGUGAAAUCCCGAGGCUCAACCUCGGGUCUGCAGUCGAUACGGGCAUCACUGGAGUUCGGCAGGGGAGACUGGAAUUCCUGGUGUAGCGGUGAAAUGCGUAGAUAUCGGGAGGAACACCAGUGGCGAAGGCGACUACCUGGCCUGUUCUUGACGCUGAGGCGCGAAAGCUAGGGGAGCAAACGGG
rnacentral:rRNA from 1 species